AUUGAACGCUGGCGGAAUGCUUUACACAUGCAAGUCGAACGGCAGCGCGGACUUCGGUCUGGUGGCGAGUGGCGAACGGGUGAGUAAUGUAUCGGAACGUGCCCAGUCGUGGGGGAUAACGUAGUGAAAAUUACGCUAAUACCGCAUACGAUCUAUGGAUGAAAGCGGGGGAUCGCAAGACCUCGCGCGAUUGGAGCGGCCGAUAUCAGAUUAGGUAGUUGGUGGAGUAAAGGCCCACCAAGCCAACGAUCUGUAGCUGGUCUGAGAGGACGACCAGCCAAACGGGAACUGAGACACAGUCCAGACUCCUACGGGAGGCAGCAGUGGGGAAUUUUGGACAAUGGGCGAAAGCCUGAUCCAGCCAUUCCGCGUGCAGGAUGAAGGCCCUCGGGUUGUAAACUGCUUUUGUACAGAACGAAAAGGUUUCUACUAAUACUAGGAGCUCAUGACGGUACUGUAAGAAUAAGCACCGGCUAACUACGUGCCAGCCGCCGCUGUAA
rnacentral:rRNA from 1 species